GGGUGCUUGGCGCAAUGGUAGCGCGCGGUCCUCCUAAACUGGUAAGACUGAGGUUGAGGGUUCGAGUCCCUUGGUGCUCG
rnacentral:tRNA from 2 species